AAGACUAUACUUUCAGGGAUCAUUUCUGUAGUUUGUUAAUUUACAUUCUUUUGUUUGUUGGUUGGUCUUGUGAAGGUGAAUGAGGAAAUUAUUUCCCUCACCU
ensembl:snoRNA U3 Small nucleolar RNA U3